CUGUCUGUGUCGCCUCUGACACUUUCCUUCCGCAUUGCUGCUGGGUCAUCGCAAGUAAUAGUUUUGCUAUGUUUUUGCCCCCCAGCUACGUUAGCAUCUUGACGUCAUAGCAGCCCGACACAGUGUAGCCUGCUAAUAAAUCCAAGAAAAAUAAGAACGCGCAACUAUAAACAAAGAGCAAACAAUGUAGGACGUCCAAGAAGGACGGUAAACUUCUGCGCAACAUUUUCUUCAAUAAACGAAGCUUUCGCCGUUGUCCAUGAAUACCUUGCGGUUGGUGUUUUUGGUGACACGUGCAAAGUCACCCAUCAGGGCAAAGAAACAACGUACAACAUCUUAAUCCCUAAGAGCAAUCCAACGUGUGAAUACAUCUGGUAUAAUUCUGAGGGCAUUAUACUGGCAACUGAUGAAGAACCCAAUAAGGGAGGUAUAUCCUCAUCUCACUCCUCUCUCACUUUGCUUGGAUGCCGGAAGAACGUUUGUGUUGAAACUAUUUGCCAUCCGAAGCACUACGAUCCAAUCUGCUGCCUUACUGACUGCACUGCUGUACAACAACCUCAAGAACGCAUUGACCCCACAACCAGCAGCCCCCCACCUCUGGCUGUAUUCUGGACACCGGUGGUCACUGGAGUGAUUAAGGGGGGGAUUUUGGUGGUCAUUUUGGUGGUCAUUGGGGCGGUCUGCUGCAGAAAGAAAAUAAACAGGUAUUGCAUACAACAUUUUUCGAUUACAGUCAAAUGUCCUCAUUGUCGCGGCCAGUAAUUAUGAACCAUCUUCACCGAAAUUAAUCCAUGUGCAAUUCAGUAAUGCACUGUGCUCUCUCUUUACUGUGAAUCUAAUGUGUGUUGUAAGCCUCCAUCUAUUCUUCUGGAUGUUCAGUGUGGCUGUUUGAAACCCAUAUUAUAAGGGGUCGAACAAUAUGAUGGUGCUCUUGUGCAUUGAAGGCUGAAGAGUUAACGUGAAUAAGUGAGAGUGGACACAUUAAAUACUUCCAAAAAGUGUACCCAUCAGUGGCGGAACAUCUUUACACACAAUAAAUAAUACUUCCUGCCAAGAUUGUUUUCGGGAUUUCAUUUCACAGGUUUUCUUUUUUUAGAUUUUGACUCCCACCAUGAUCAAAUAGUACCUAAAAUCAUGGGUAUAUAUAAACAUAAAUGUCGACUUCAACAUUACCUUUAGAGAUUGUUAUACUAGCGGUUCGAGGACUCGCUGACUAAAGUAUGUCUGGGCCGAUGCCCUUUGGUGAGAAACCCAUUUCGCCGAUAGUGAUUGGGCUAGCCCAGUGUCAAUCGUGUCGCUGAUCAACUGGUUUUAUGGGCUGCUCAGACCAAUAUAUAAAAAUAAAAAGUAACAGGUUUUCUGCCAACUAAACUGUCUCUUUGUUAGUACCUUGUUUCACUGAAUGUUUCUAUUUCACUUUAUGUAUGAGGUGUACUGUAUUCUGUUAUGCUCAAAAUCUCGAAAAUAAAUCUUAUAUAAAAACAAGAAAACACCAGAUGCUUCCUCAUUUUAAGUGUCUGGUCUGGUAUGUUGAUCCAGUAUAUAGUAAGAUAGUCCCGUUAGUCCUUCAUGGCCUCGUUGCCAGUUUCGUUGCCUUACCAUGUCCCACACAAAUCCACCAAAGUAGCAGAUCUUUUGCAUGUUUCACUGUGGGAGCCUGUUGGACUUUGCUUAUAACUGCGGAUCCAGUAAUAUAUUUAUCAUAAUCAUCUGCAACAGCAGUGAUUCAAAA